UACGGAGGAUGCAAGCGUUAUCCGGAUUUAUUGGGUUUAAAGGGUGCGCAGGUUGUUUGAUAAGUCAGUGGUGAAAGUCUGUCGCUUAACGGUAGGAUUGCCAUUGAUACUGUUGGACUUGAAUAUGGAUGAGGUAGGCGGAAUGUGUAGUGUAGCGGUGAAAUGCAUAGAUAUUACACAGAACACCGAUUGCGAAGGCAGCUCACAGAGCCAAGAUUGACGCUGAGGCACGAAAGUGUGGGGAUCAAACA
rnacentral:rRNA from 1 species